rnacentral:lncRNA from 9 species
UUUUUUUUUUUUUUUUUUUUUUUCCCAAAGUCUUCUUUUUAAAGGUCUGAGUAGGCCCUAGAGUCAGAAGCUACACUCAGUAUUGCUUUGUGGUUAAAGGAAAUCUUUCAGAGUGUUGUUGGUCUUAGAACUAGACUGGGAGAUGGAAGUAGUGGUGAGCGAGUUGGCAGAAAGAAACUCUGAGAUUGAAUGCUUUGAGGUUUGGAUGUGGCCCUUCUACAUUGCCACUACCUGUGCACUUUGGUAAGUUGAAAAUGUCCUUGGAGUUUUCUGCUUCCUAACACGGAGGGUCAUCAGGUGGAGGAUAUGGAUCACUUGUGUCUCUCCCCUGUGGAAGACAGAAUCAGAAGAAUAGGCUUAAAUGCAGCAGUAGAUUUAAGAUUAACAUAGAAGGAAAAUCUCAGGAUGGGUUAAGUUUUGAAUAAAUGAUUGUGAAUGGUAGUAACAGCAUAAUCAUUUCAGUAGCCAUUUACAGAGAGUCACCUUCAUUAUAAAAUGAUGAUGGGAAGGCAGGGUCUUUGCUGGCCUUGGGAAACUUUAGAGGCCCAAGUCACUUUGAUGAUGUUAUUAUUUCUACUAAUGAGUGAAUGGCAUAAUCGAGAUCUGUACCUUUCAAUAUGGUAGCCACUAGCCACAGUCAUUGCUGAGUGUGUGAAAUGUGGCUAGCCCAAGCCAGAAAUGUACUCUUUUUUGAAGGCUUUGUUAGAAAAAAGGAAUGUCAAAUAAAUUUUUUUGCUGAAUAUGGAUUAUAAUAAUGUUUUUAAUAUUUUUGACAUAUUGGGUUAAAUAAAAGAUAUUAAAAUUAUUUUCAAUUGUAUAUUUUGCUUUUAUUCAAUGUAGUUACUAGAAAAUGUAAAAUUAGGUAUAUGUGGCUCAGAUCUGGCAUUGCUGUAGCUGUGGUGUAGGCUGGCAGCUGUAGCUCCUAUUUGACCCCUAGCCUGGGAACUCCCAUAUGCUUUGGGUGUGGCCCUUAAAAAAAAUGACCCCCCCAAGAAGAAGCUUAUGGCUGUCCUGUAUGAAAUGUGAUGAUGUGAGUCCCAGGGUGUUGUAGUGGCAACACUUUUAAGUAACAGUUCUUCACAUGGUAAGAUUAAAGAUUGUUUUGGAGUUCCCGUCGUGGCGCAGUGGUUAACGAAUCCGACUAGGAACCAUGAGGUUGCGGGUUCGGUCCCUGCCCUUGCUCAGUGGGUUAAUGAUCCGGCGUUGCCGUGAGCUGUGGUGUAGGUUGCAGACACGGCUCGGAUCCCACGUUGCUGUGGCUCUGGCGUAGGCCGGUGGCUACAGCUCCGAUUCGACCCCUAGCCUGGGAACCUCCAUAUGCCGCGGAAGCGGCCCAAAGAAAUAGCAAAAAAAAAAAAAAAAAAAAAAAA